rnacentral:rRNA from 1 species
UACGUAGGGUGCAAGCGUUGUCCGGAUUCAUUGGGCGUAAAGGGUGCGUAGGCGGCGCGGUAAGUCGGGUGUGAAAUUUCGAGGCUUAACUUCGAAACUGCAUUCGAUACUGCCGUGCUUGAGGACUGGAGAGGAGACUGGAAUUUACGGUGUAGCGGUGAGAUGCGUAGAUAUCGUAAGGAAGACCAGUGGCGAAGGCGGGUCUCUGGACAGUUCCUGACGCUGAGGCACGAAGGCCAGGGGAGCAAACGGG